CAUUGCACUCGUCCCGGCCGGA
rnacentral:miRNA from 1 species